rnacentral:rRNA from 1 species
UACACGCUGUGACUAGCAUAUCAAUAAGCGGAGGAAAAGAAACUAACAAGGAUUCCCCUAGUAACGGCGAGUGAAGCGGGAAGAGCUCAAAUUUGAAAUCUUAAAGGGUUUCCCUUUACGAAUUGUAGUUUAAAGAAGUGUUUUCUGUUGAGGUUUUGGUAAAAGUUCUUUGGAAUAGGACAUCAUAGAGGGUGAGAAUCCCGUAUUUGACCUUUACUUUCAACUUUGUGAUACACUUUCAAAGAGUCGGAUUGUUUGGGAAUGCAGUCCAAAAUGGGUGGUAAAUUUCAUCUAAAGCUAAAUAUUGGCGAGAGACCGAUAGCGAACAAGUACCGUGAGGGAAAGAUGAAAAGAACUUUGAAAAGAGAGUUAAACAGUACGUGAAAUUGUCAAAAGGGAAGCGUUUGACACCAGUGUUGUUUUUCUGAAAAUCAAUUAAAGAACUGUUUAUGCUAAGCUGUUUAGACUUUAUCAGCUAAUCUGUUUAGUUUUGAGCCUUUCUUUAAUGCACUUUUCAGUUAACAAGUCAACAUCAAUUUCUUUUGCUGUAAAAAGGCUUGAGGAAGGUGGCUUGAGAUUCGUCUUAAGUGUUUAUAGCCUCUUGCCUAUGCAGUCGGAGAGAUUGAGGUCUGCAGCGUAGAUCCUUCGGGGCUAAAUGCAUUUGUGCUAAGUUAUAGCAUUUUAUAGACAACUUGUUGACUAUGAUUUGUCUUGUAGCUUACUCGCUUAUGUUAUUUUACCUACGCUUAGGAUGUUGAGUCGUAGAGCACGCAG